rnacentral:tRNA from 1 species
CUAGGAGAACGACAAAAAGACGAAGGGCUUAGCGAUCUGCGCUCCUGUUUAGUACUGUGAAAGAUCCCGAAGGUGGGAGGGUGUCCGGAAGGAAAGAGGACACACCCUGGAGGAGAUCGGGACGGCCGGGCCUGUAGCUCAGGUGGUUAGAGCACACGCCUGAUAAGCGUGAGGUCGAUCGUUCGAGUCGAUCCAGGCCCACCACCGGAAGACCCGCAGGGGGAUGUAGCUCAGCUGGGAGAGCGCCUGCCUUGCACGCAGGAGGUCGGCGGUUCGAGCCCGCUCAUCUCCACCACCCGCCGGAACGAGGAGGCGGGAGUCCCGAGAGGGACAACGCGGGAGAUCGUUGACAAAAGAAUAGGAAGAGAGAAAGAAGGGCCCGGAUGGCGAGGGGACUCGCCGUCCGGACGAAAGCAAGUGCGUUGGAGCAAGGGCGAAUGACGCGAUUCAAGAAACAAAGGGCAGACGGUGGAUGCCUAGGCAGUGCGAGGCGAUGAAGGACGUGGCAAGCUGCGA